rnacentral:lncRNA from 1 species
GCCAUCAGCACCCCUUUCCACGAAGAUGUCUGGUGUUCACUCUCAGAUGAAGAGAGGGAGUACUCAAACUCUAGGAUUCCUCAUAGCCCAAUAGACAGCAGCUUAACAGAAUUUCAACAGAAUGUUAAUUACACACAUAUAAUGAAUACUAUGCAUCAGGUAUUGUUCAAAUAACUUUACAAAUAUUAACUCAUUUAGCCUUAUACUACCCUAAUGAGGCAGGUAAAAUUAUUACCCCCAUUUUAUAGAGGAGGAAAUUGGGGCACAGAGAGGUUAAGUAACUGGCCCAGGGUCACACAGCCAGGAAGCCCAAAAGCCAGGAGUUGGCUCACAUUUUUAAUCUCUGCACUCUGCUGCCUAUGGAUUUGUUGGUUUCCUUCUUUUUCCAAUCAUUAAAUUAUCCUAACAGUUUUAUUGAGAUAUAAUUUAUAUACCGUAAACAUCACCCAUUUUAAGUGUACAAUUGAACAAUUUUAGUAAACUUAUCAAAUUGUGCAACCAUCACAACAAGCCAACUUUAGAGCAUUUCUAUCACCCUGGGAAAGAUUCUUUGUGCCCUUUUGCAGUCACUGUUAGUUCCAACCUCUGCUUGAAGCAACCAUUAAUCUUUCUGUCUCUGUAGAUUUGUCCUGGAAAUUUCCUAUACAUAGAAUCAUACAAUACGUGGUCUUUUGAGUCUAGCUUCUGUCACUUAACAUGAUGUAUUUGAGGUAGAUCCAUAUUGCAGCAUGUAUCACUCCAUUCGUUUUUGUGAUCUAAUAAUAUUCCAUUAUAUGGAUUUACUGCAUUUAGUUUAUCCAUUCACCAGCCGAGAGGCUUUUCCAUUGUUUCCACUUUUUGGCUGUGAUAAAUAAAGCUGCUAUGAACAUCUGUGUACAAGCCUUUGACUGGACAUAUAUUUCUCUUUCUCUUUAGGUAUAUGCCUAGGAGUGGAAUUGCUGAUUUGUGUGGUACAUUUAUGUUUACUUGUUGUAAAAACUGCUAAAUCUAUUUCCCAAAGUGCUGCACCAUUUUCCAUUCCACAGCCAUGGAUUUUAUAGACUGUGAGGUCCCGAUGCAAAUCCUAGGGCCACCCAUACAAGCAGACAGAGCCCAAUUUAGGGUCCUGGAACCAACCUAGGUGUAAAAUGAAGCCAUCUGGGGAUGGGGGGGACUGAGUCAAGCUCAGCCUCUCUGCAGCUUCUGAUGUCUGAGAAACAGGUGGGCAAGAAAUCAGCUGUUCUACUUUCUAAUCCAGAAAAACAUUGCCCUCUGGGACCUAGAGCACUUGUUAGGGGAAAAUCAGCAAAGUGGCGAUAACACCAAAAGGAAAAACAGAAACACACUGUGGAGACGUCAAGGGCGAUCUCAGCAAAGGAAGAAAACCAGCUUGAGAAGGCAGCAGUAAAGGCAGUUGGCCUGCAGCUCCCAUGCUCCGGAAGCCUUUAGUUCCCACUGCCAGCAUCCUCAGAGCCCUUUCCGACUACCUCGGAGGCCAGCGAGAGGAUAAUGGGGUGAUGGCAAGGGGGAGCCCCAGGACUCAGCUGCCUAUGGCUCUGAACAGACAGUGCUGGUCCAGCCAGGGAAGGCCUUCUCCAGAGGGGCACUGCUGGAGGAAGGAAGGAAGGAACGCCGCUGCCCGCCUGCCAGCCAGGAUAGCUCUGAGUGUCACCAGCUCUCCAGUUUGUGCCACAUGUUAUCUAAGGAGUCAUUUCACUAUUUAAUAAAGAGAUCCAGCUUUUGAUAGAGAGAAUUUGACAUGUCUGGCAGCAGCUGCAAAGGACAGAACUUUAUAAUGAUGGCCCGUGGUGGGUGUCUACACACACAACUGCCUGCCCAGCUUCCUCCUGACACGUCCCCUCACAUGGGAGUGAAACCGACAUGGCACUGCUGAAACACACAGAGUACACAGGGAUGGCACAGGGGGCAUGCCUUGCAGAAUGGAAUGGGCCUCUGCUUGCUGCUGAAUGCCACGUGCUCAGGACAGGUGGUAACUGUACUGGGUCGAAUUGCGUCCCUUCAAAUUCAUGUCCACAAGGACGCUGUGAAGGUGCUCCUAUUUGGAAAUAGGGCCUUUGCAGGUAUAAUUAAAGGGAAAUGAGGUCAUAUCAGAUUACAGUGGGCCGUAAUCCAAUGACUGGUAUUCUUUCCUAUAAGAGGGAAAUUUGGGCACAGACACAGAGAAGACACCGUGUGAAGACACAGACACAGAGGAGAGAAACUCAUAUGAAGACAAAGGCAGAGGCUGGGGUGAUACAGCUAUAAACCAAGGGACCCCAAGUGUUGCCAGGAAACCCCCAGAAGCCAGGACAAAACAAAGUAGGAUCCUUCCCUAGAGAUUUCAGAGGGACCAUGGCCCUACUAACACCUUGAUUUUAGACUCGUGACCCCCAGAACUGUGAGAUAAUACAUUCCUGUGGUUUAAAGCCACCCAGUUUAUGGUGCUUUGCCAAGGCAGCUCCAGGAAAUGGAACAAAAGCUGAGCCCAGGCUGCAGGUAACAAACUGUCCAUGCUGGCAGGUGGCAGAGGGGGAAGGACAGGCAGAGAGGGCCGCAUGGAGGAGGCACCUCCUUUAGUUGUGCCUGAGGUUCAGGCAGAAGGCCCAGAGAACAGAAGUGAAACUAGAGGCUCAGCAUGGCUCCUGGUAGAAUUGGCUUUAAUGGCUCAAGUUUUUUCAUCUUUGCUUCCUCCAACUUGCCUGGAACAGGUACUGCACACGGAUUGGCUCAGCUAGGCAGCUGGUGAGCUAGAGAAAUGGGAAUGACCCUCCACAUCAGCCUGACACCGGGUAUUAAAUCACUGCACCAAGUAUGUCAACACAACGCCCAGGUGGCCGCUGGACAAUAAGGCCACAGGGCCCCAGAGAGUGGCUGGACUUUGCUGUCUCGUCUGUACCUUGUGUGAGAGCUUGAGACUCAGAGGAGCCCGUGGGGCACAUGGAGGUGAACUUAGUCCCAGAUACAUUGUAUGGACGUGGUCAUGGGACACCAGUACUCAACAGGGAACUCUCAGCUGCAGGCUCCUGGCCUGAGCAGACCUUCUCAGAAUGGCCAAAGUGCCUGUCCUCAGGAGCCAGGACUCCAGCUCAAUCUUAGCUACAAGACUCCAACCAAAAUCUUGGGGGGGAUAGAGGCCACAUUCUGUCCCUGCAGGAGGCCUCUCAGGCUCCCUGAGAACCUGUUUCUAGUUCUCUAGUGGAUUUCAGUUGACAGAACUCUCUACUUCAGCAUCCCUGGGUCCCAGGGCUGAAGCUGCAUCUAAGAACCUGAGCCCUGAAGGCCAGGGCGGGUUUGCUGACAGAGGCGCAGGGCCAUCUGAUGUCAGACCUGAAAGGGCCCCAGGGCCAGUCCAAGCCUAGACCAUCUCCACUGUGGGAGAAUAGGGGGUAGGUCUGGAGACAGAAAGGGGUCCUCUUUCUUUCUACAUGGGUCUUGGCUGUGCAGUUACUGGCCCGAUGACCACACUGGGCCUGGGACUCUAUGCCUCCUCUGCCUUGGUUGGCAUAGUGAGGAGUGACCAGAAUCCUCCCCUUCCCCUACCCUAAGCAGCAGCCUGGGUGACUGGGGCAGGGCAGCUUCCCUGGCUGAGUCCAUUGUUUUAAAGGACAAUCCUCUCCCCCUCUCCCCUCCCUGGUGGUCUGCCAUCAGCCUAGGCACAGAAAAGAACAUCACUAACACAGGCUGGAAUGGGUCACAGGCACAGGCUUUAUCAGGCGACAAGGAUCAUUGAUUGGCCAUGAGUCGCAGUCCUGUGGGUGAAGAACAAGCCACAGAUACUGGAGCAUCAAUAUCUGGGGGUCUUUGUGAUGGUGUCCAGAGAGUCCAGACCACUGAGGAGGUGGCGUCCACAGUGGAUGAAUACACAACGGGCAGGCCAGGUUCUGCCAGUGACCCCAAGCAGAGCACCAGCCCCUGUGGCCACCUACCCCGCUGUGCCCUCUGCUCCUAUGUCACUUGACCCAAAGCAGGUGGGGAGCAGGAGGCAGGGAGCCAGCAUCAGGGUGCAGAAAGGGCAGGGAGGGGACAAAGCCCAGAGGAGAGCUGGAGCCACCUCUCGGAGGAAGACCUGGCCCCAUCCCCUCCCCACUCCUACUGAGACCUUCCGCUGCAGUCAGCAAGGGAUGCAGGGCCCGGGGCUGAGUGCUGGGAAGGAGGGGCGGGUGUGAAGGGGGAAGGCAAAUGGGUGGAGCCGGUGCUGGAGCUGUCCCAGAGCUGGCUCAGAGCCCUGGGGAGGGAGCUGACCCUCUGAGCCUGGGUUAAGACGGAGGAGGAGGGAGUCAGCUCUCGACCCCAAAACCACCUGUUUCCUCUCACUCUAGCACUGGUGGAGGGGAAGCUGCUCAGGACAGGGCGCCACAGCUGGAGAGGGACGUGAUCAGAUGCAGGACAGAGCAGACAGGUCCUGGCACGGGCCAGGAGCUGAGACACUCAACACUGAUGGCUGCAAACCACCCGCACCAUCAGCCGGGGGCUCCCUCAGGGCUGGCUUUGGUGUCUAUCAGAAAAGGGUCUGAGGUCCUAGUCCCACCCGCUCAAUGCUUCUGCCAGGCAGGACAGGGCCAAGGAGCAAUAGUGGUUGCAUUUCCUUUAAAACUACUGUUUCAUUAAAAAACAAAACAAAACAAAACAAAAAACUAGCUCUGAACAUGAAGAAUUAUAUCCAAGAAAGACACCUUGACAUUUUUUGCUUUAUUAAACAUCAUUCACUGAGAAUUUCCAAAGCACUGUGUGGUGCCUAGACCUGUGUACCAGCGCUCUGGGGGUCGG